rnacentral:tRNA from 1 species
GUUCCUAUAGCUAUAAAAUAAGUGGAGAGCUUUUAACUCUUAGAAACAAUUUAAUUGUUGGGAAUU